AGUGUUGGGUGUGGGGGUUGCAACGCAGGGAGAGCAGGAAGGGGGAGAACCCUUCUUCUCCAUCUUACCAAGAAAAUCUACAAAUUGAAGGCGAUUUUGGAUGAAUUUCGUUUGCAUGUGAACAAUUUCUCAAUCAUCUAAGAGUUCCUAACCUAGGGAACGUGUCAAGGAGAGCUCAAGCAUAGGAGGAUAACGGGUCAAGAUAAAGCAAGGUGACAAAUACACUUAUUGGAGUACUCAAGGUUAUGAAUGUCGGACUUUCGAAGUGUUGAUAUAAUAAUGAAACGGUUAAAUGUUGAAAGGAUAAUCGGAUUGAAGUAACUUAUGCGGUUAGAAUAUGCUAUGGACGUUUUAGUUUAUACAACAUUUUAUGUUUGGUCGUCAUCAUCUACCAACGGGUAAAUCCUCAAUUCAGGCGACUUGGAGAAUCGGAGCGAGCGCGUGUUCAUGUUAUGUCAUACCAAACGCUUCCGCUAGCUUGUUCAAAUGUUUUUGAUCCAAAAUUUGUUGUAUUGGUUUUUAGUAGUAUCUUGUUGAACGAAUUGUAGAAUUGUAUCUAGUUUGUUUAUGUUUAAAACAGGGGUAUGCUCGUUUUAUGGACGGGUCAUGCCCGAUUUUUGUUAAAUUAUAGUAUGAUAAUAUCACAUUUAGGAAGAUGAAA